UAACUUUUCAUCUCUCUCACAGGAUCUUACGUAACUGCCAUGAUGACGCAUCCAGAUUUGCUUACCUUGUAGCAAAGCCCAGCUGUGGUUACCUUGAGCAGGAGGACUUCAUCCCGCUGCUUCAGGAUGUGGUAGAAACGCACCCUGGUCUGACGUUCCUAAAGGAUGCUCCAGAAUUCCAUUCCCGGUAUAUUACUACGGUAGGCUGGCUUGUUCCAUCUCCUGUCACAGUGCUGUACCAGCCCUCAUUUUGUUAUUUGUCACCAUUCCCAGAUCAUUCAUUUAUUGCAAAAAUACAUGGUUUUUAUAUUGCUAGCAAGAAGUUGCAUUCAGAAUUUCUUCAGAACAAAAAAAUAAUCAAUCUGUGUAUAAGAGGUCACUCACAAGGGUAGUAAUGAUUCUUUGUGGUCUUAAACAAAUCUUUAAAACAAUUUUGGCCUUUAAUUAUGUUGGAGGAAAAUAAGAGUGCUCCUUCUUUGGUCUUUGAGAGCUACUAAGUUACCCCUAAUACUACAGGGCUGCUGUGGCCUGGGAGGCCAUUUGAAGAUUUCUGUCACUUAGGCGUGGGGACUCUGAUUGUUCCAUGGUACAAGGCAUCCAUUGCACCACUGUCCAACUCUCCUGCAUCUCACUUGCCAGAACGCCUCUCUAGUCCUUCUGAAUCACUGAUUUUUUUGUGACUACUGCUGGUAGAUCUGUAGCUUUGUUCCCACUCUGCAGUCAGAAGUUAGAUUUGUGCUUUACCUGAAAAAGUUUGUACUUUUAUUUUAAGCCUGUGUUGUGUUGGGUAUGAAUAUGGAUAAAAGAUAUAAAUGUGGAAUGUUUGAUCUCUGCAAUGAUAAUAAACUCAGAUAAAAAUGAGUCUGAGGAGAGCUUCAUCUCAGCUGGGCUUAGAGCUUUUCUGAUUGGCUUUUCUUAUUGGCUCUGUGGGGACCUGCUGCACCACAUAUCGGCAGCUGGAAGAUUACUGGCAGGCACAGACUUAUCCCUUUCUUGUAAGGAGCAGAUGGCAGAGGAACACUGCUGCUUCGGCCAUAUCCAGUGUUUGUGAAUCUGUAUAACGAGAGACAAUUUCAAAUGUCUAAACACUCUUGACUAUGGUGGUAAAUGUCAAUGUAGUAUCAGCAUCUUCAGUCCCCGCAGAGCGAGACAGCAGAUAUGUUAAGCAUAGUACCUGGUCAGAGUAGGUAUAACAAAUGUCCAGGUGAUUUUGAAGGCUCGUGAAUGGAUGAAUUGCUGUGAUUUCUGGACCACACCAGGUGCUGUGUGUGUUCUGGUUUGAGACAUAGCUGCACUUCAAGAUAACUGAAAUCUAGGCUACUACUAAAAAGAGAAAUCCUUUCCUUCCUUUUAUUUUCUUACAACUUCCCUUGUACCUGGAUGAGCUAUGUCCUGUGUGACAGUCAAAUUUGGGCACAGAAUAAGAUCCUUCAUGUGUACGUGAAACUUCUCAAUGCUUCUUGAUUCUGCUCAUCUCCUCUGUGCUUUCUUACUUCAGCCUGAGAGCCUUUAGACACCCCUCUGUGUAAUCCUGUUCACAAUGGUGGCUUCCUAAGCUUUCUCUCUGGCACCCAGGAAAUGAUGGUGCUGGUGUUUGAAGUGAACACUGUGUGGCAGCGAAUCUUACAAAGCUGUGACAUCCUUCACAGACUUCUCGUGCUUGCAGAACAACUCUGUUUUGGGUGUCUCUUCUGACAAACAGAUUCCUCCUGAGCUCUGUGUUUGGCCUUGGCUGGAUCACUGAGCUGGAGCAGAGUCCUAGACCUAAGCAGACACAAAGUCUAUUGGAUCAGGUUGGUCCCAUGUGGAGUAGCAAUACGUGGCCCACUGCAAUAGUGCCUCUCCUCUCUGACAGCAGAAAUUCCUAUUUCUCACAUGUCCAUUCAUGAAUAAUUUGGCACUUCUAUCUUUAAUGUCAUGAAAUUGAGUAUUUCCACCAGGAGGUAAUGAAGGAAACAGCUUUGUCCUUGGAUUUUGAGACUGCCUGGACACUUUCAUUCCCUUCAAGAUCAGGGCCAUAAAGAGACACUGGCUUUUGUGUUCAUUAUUGAAUAUGGCAUCACUUGGUUGAAAUCACCUGGAGAAGGUAGACUCCUGAAACCGAUGAAGAGGAUGCAGAAUAUCAUGAGACAUUUAACAUCACUUCUUCCAGAAUGUGCAAAGAAAGCUCACUGUUAGCAGUGCAUGCUGUUGUUAAAAAUCUGAGUCAACUGAAAACAACUUAUCAAAACUUACUGCUUGGUGAAAAAAAACGUUCAGCUUAUUACUCAUGUGAAUGUGGAAAGUGAAGAUGGCCUACAGGAUUUAAUAAAGAUUUGGGGUUUUUUGUGUGUUUGUUUGUCCCUCCCCACCCCUCCCCAAAAUUGUGUUGUUUUUCUUUUAUGGGGAUAUUGGGAAAAGAUCUGGAACUAACCCAUCAAUGGUUUUGGACCUGGAGAUACUUUACAUGAUAGUAUUGGGCAAAUAAGGAAGGAGCUUCCCCCUUCCAAAGGCUCAUGUACUCAAUUCAGAAUAAACAGACUUCCGUGCCAGGAAGAAGGGAGCCAGAGUCACAGCGUACAAGGAUGUAGCUGCUGAGUAGAAGUGCAUGUAGCAGCUUGGGCCUGAGGCCAGUUACUUACUUGGUUUCUAAGCUUACAGCGCAGAUGUAAUCAUGCAGCAGGUGCUCUAACUCAGAAACAUAAAGCAGGCAGACCACAGGAGUUAAUUUUCUAUCACAGUAGACACUGGCUGUUUGAAUGUUGCAAAUCAUGUCAGCUUUAUUAUAAUCUCCUACAGUAUUUCCCAAAUGCUUUUUUUGACAGCCUUGUCUUUGUAAGCUGGAAAAGAGAGAAGUGUAGACACUGUGUGUGUGUGUGUGUGUGUACUUGCAGUUUACUACUCACCAAAACUACCAUUGUUUGAAUAAUAAAGCCUGCACUGAGUGACUGGAUACAGUAGAGAGGAGGUGAAGAGAGAUUCCAUCUUUCCCCUGUACGCCUUAUUUUUACAGCUGAUGAGAGGGGAGCAGAGGGUACAUCCUUAUCAAUAUGAUCUGACAGAGGAAUGGUUUCUUUGAGUCACUAAGGGAGAUAUUUUGCUGUCUGCUAUUACCCAGCAGGCGGAGGAAAAGAAAAAGACUGCUAGCUAGGGCUUCUUUUUCUAUCCUGAGAUUUUUGUUUAUGUCCUUGGAAUCUGUAAAAGCUGUAUCUGUGAAUUGCUAGAGUUGACAGGUGUGGUAAUGGAUCAUGUGUGAGGUGAGACACUUCAGCUGAAGUUCUCUGAACUGGCUAGCAAAACCUGGAAGCAAAGCCCAAACAAAAUUAAAAAAUAGUCCAGAAUGGCAAUAGUUGCCAGCAACAUUGAAGAAGGAAGACACAGCUUUGAAUUGUUUAAGACCAGAAAAGACCAUUAUAAUUCCCUGGGCUGACCUCUGGCAUUACACAGACCACAGAACAUUGCUCAGUGAUUGCUAUAAUUAGGAUAAAUUUUCUUUUUGAUAGAAUUAAUGCACAACUUCA